rnacentral:lncRNA from 1 species
UUACAUUUCGCGUUCGGGAACCGGUCCUUGCCUGAGAGACCGGUCCCCGGGAGACCGGUCCUUGUCCGAGAGACCGGUUCCCGAGAGCAACACUUUCGGGACUUAGCCAAAUUUCGGCUUCUCUCGCUGGGCCAACGUUCGGGAACCGGUCCCUGCCUGCCAGGGACCGGUCUCAUCAAAGACCCCCGCAGCCCAGCCCGAUGGAACCG